UAUCUAUGUGUGUGUGCCAGUGUGUAUACCUGUGCAUGUAUCUGUAUGUAGCCAAUGUGUGUAUCUGCAUGUGUGUCAGUGUUUGUAUCUGCAUUUGUCAGGUUAUGUAUCUGUGUGUAUGUAUGUUGUCAUUGUGUGUGUCUGUGUAUCUGUAUGUUGUCAGUGUAUCUGCGUGUGUGUGCGUGCGUGCAUCUGUGUGUCUGCAUGUGUGCCAGGUUGUGUGUCUGUAUGUGUGUGUGUCAGUGUGUGUAAAUGUGUCU